rnacentral:rRNA from 1 species
UACGGAGGUGGCAAGCGUUGCUCGGAAUCACUGGGCGUAAAGGGCGCGUAGGCGGGGAGGUAAGUCGGGUGUGAAAUCCCUCGGCCCAACCGAGGAACUGCGCCCGAGACUGCUUCUCUUGAGUCCCGGAGAGGAAGAUGGAAUUCCCGGUGUAGCGGUGAAAUGUGUAGAGAUCGGGAGGAACACCGAUGGCGAAGGCAGCCCCCUGGGUCAAGAUUGACGCUCAUGCACGAAAGCGUGGGGAGCAAACAGG